AGUGAACGCUGGCGGCGUGCCUAAUACAUGCAAGUCGAACGGAGAUUAAAUAGCUUGCUAUUUAAUCUUAGUGGCGCACGGGUGAGUAAUAUAUAGUUAAUCUGCCCCAUAGUGGAGGACAACAGUUAGAAAUGACUGCUAAUACUCCAUACUCCUUCUUAUCAUAAGUUAAGUCGGGAAAGUUUUUCGCUAUGGGAUGAGACUAUAUCGUAUCAGCUAGUUGGUGAGGUAAUGGCUCACCAAGGCUAUGACGCGUAACUGGUCUGAGAGGAUGAUCAGUCACAUUGGAACUGAGACACGGUCCAA
rnacentral:rRNA from 1 species